rnacentral:rRNA from 1 species
UACAGAGGGGGCAAGCGUUGUUCGGAAUUACUGGGCGUAAAGGGCUCGUAGGCGGCCAACUAAGUCCGACGUGAAAUCCCAAAGCUUAACUUUGGAACUGCGUCGGAUACUGGAUGGCUUGAAUUCGGGAGAGGGAUGCAGAAUUCCAGGUGUGAGCGGUGAAAUGCGUAGAUAUCUGGAGGAAUACCGGUGGCGAAGGCGGCAUCCUGGACCGACAUUGACGCUGAGGAGCGAAGCUAGGGAGCAAACGG